rnacentral:tRNA from 1 species
AGUCUUAUAUUCAAAUAUGAUUUUAAAUUGCAAAUUUAAAGGUAAAUAAAUUUUUAAGGCUU